rnacentral:rRNA from 1 species
CACGGGGUUGCGAGCGUUGUCCGGAAUCACUAGGCGUAAAGGGCAGGCAGGCGGAUCCAUAAGUUUAUCGUUUAAGGCGUCGGCUUAACCGGCGUAGGGCGGUAGAUACUGUGGAUCUGGAAUGCGGUUGGGGAAGACAGAAUUCCUGGUGUAGCGGUGGAAUGCGCAGAGAUCAGGAGGAAUACCGAAGGCGAAGUCAGUCUUCCAAGCCGUUAUUGACGCUCAACUGCGAAGGUGUGGGUAUCAAACAGGAUUAGAUACCCUGGUAGUCCCU